rnacentral:rRNA from 1 species
UAAGGGAUAUUGCGACAAUGGGCGAAAGCCUGACGCAGCAACGCCGCGUGCGGGAGGAAGGCCUUCGGGUUGUAAACCGCUUUUGUAGGGGGAAGGAGGAAGGACGGUACCCCUCGAAUAAGUCUCGGCUAACUACGUGCC